GAUCCGGUGGCCUAUUGGAUAGAGCGUCCGCCUCGGAUGCAGGCGGUCGUGGGUUUGAUCCCCGGCAGAGUCA